AUUAAAGUUGUUGCAGUUAAAAAGCUCGUAGUUUGAACCUUGGGUCUGGCUGGCCGGUCCGCCUCACCGCGAGUACUGGUCCGGCUGGACCUUUCCUUCUGGGGAACCUCAUGGCCUUCACUGGCUGUGGGGGGAACCAGGACUUUUACUGUGAAAAAAUUAGAGUGUUCAAAGCAGGCCUUUGCUCGAAUACAUUAGCAUGGAAUAAUAGAAUAGGACGUGCGGUUCUAUUUUGUUGGUUUCUAGGACCGCCGUAAUGAUUAAUAGGGACAGUCGGGGGCAUCAGUAUUCAAUUGUCAGAGGUGAAAUUCUUGGAUUUAUUGAAGACUAACUACUGCGAAAGCAUUUGCCAAGGAUGUUCUCAUUAAUCAGGAACGAAAGUUGGGGGAUCGAAGACGAUCAGAUACCGUCGUAGUCUUAACCAUAAACUAUGCCGAC
rnacentral:rRNA from 1 species